UUUUCAUCUUUACUCCAUCGUUUUUAGUACCCGAAAUCAAGUAAGCUAAUCGAGGCAACUCAGGCAAGAUUUCAUCAUAAAGAAGUGAUUUUGAAUGUGGGGUUGAUGAUUUAGGCUUAAAUGAGGAAGUGGGGUUGGUUAAAAUUAGUGUAAGAACGAGUAUAACAACAAAGAUUGUGAAUACAACAAUGGGUGUUGACCAUUUCUUAUGGUGAAUGAAUCUAAUGUGAGCUCUUUUCAUUGAUUCUUGGUGAAAAAAAAAGAUAAUUUUUGGGUUCUUGAUUUAGUUUUACUGUUUGGGAUUUGUGUUUAGCUUAGAUUUGAA
rnacentral:misc_RNA from 1 species